rnacentral:lncRNA from 10 species
UCCAAAGAAACAAAGAAGGACAUCAAAAAAUAAUAGAUUCAUUCACAGGGAAUCUAUGACAAAUUUGUGUGUGUGUGUGUGUGUGUGUGUGUGUGUGUCUCACAUUAGGGUUCCAAGUAUAUAAAGCAAAUAUUGACAGAAUGGAAGAAACACACAGAAAGCAAUAUAAUUAGAACAAUAUAUUUUAAUACCACACUUUUUGUAAUAAAACUAAAACAAGAAAGAAUGUUAAUAAAAGAACAGACUACUUAAAGGCAGUAUAAAACAAUUAUUCCAAACAGAGUUAUGGAGAACACUCCUCAACAACAUCAGAAUACACACCCUUCUCAAUAGCUCAUACAACAUUUCCCUUGAAAGACCACAUCUUAGGACAAAAAGGAAGUCUUAUCAAAUUUUUUAAAAGUAAAUUUCUAUGAACUACAUUCUAUGACCAAAAUGGAAUGAGAAUAUACAACGAUAAAAGCAAAAAAAAAAAACUGAAAAAUUUACAAAUAUAUAGAAACUAAACAACACACUCUUGAGUGUGCUCUUACACAAAGGUUGAAAUACUUAAUAUUGCAGAGUCCAUCCUGCUCAAUGCAAUCUACAGAUUUAAUGCAAUAUUUUUCAAAUUUCUCAUUGCAUUUUUGAAGAAAUAGAAACACCAACCUCAAAAGUAUACAGAGACUCAAAAGAAAAACAAACUACCCAACAAUAUUAAAAAAAAAAAAAGAAAGAAAGAAUGCUGCAGGCAUUAAAGUGCCUGAUUCAAAACACAUUACAAAGCUACCAAAUUAAACAAUUUGAUAUGAGUAUAAAGGUGAAAAAGUAGACUAAUAAAAUAGAAUGCAGCACAUAUAUAAACUUUCACAUAUAUGGUCAUAUAAGUAGUCAUUUAUAGACUCAUAAUUAUUGCAGCAUUUUUUUUUUUUUUUUUUUUAGAAACUGAUGUUUAUUUUCCAUCAACCAUUUUUCCAUGCUGCUUAAGAGCCUAUGCAAGAACAGCUUAAGACCAGUCAGUGGUUGCUCCUACCCAUUCAGUGGCCUGAGCAGUGGGAGCUGAGUAGCAGUGAAC